CCUACCCAUAAGAGGGGGAUAACAGUUGGAAACGACUGCUAAUACCGCAUAAGCUAUUGAGGUCGCAUGACCUAAAUAGUAAAGGUGGCGCCUGUUUACAGGCUAUCACUUAUGGAUGGGCCCGCGUCUGAUUAGCUAGUUGGUGGGGUAGAAGCCUACCAAGGCAACGAUCAGUAGCCGGCCUGAGAGGGUGGACGGCCACACUGGGACUGAGACACGGCCCAGACUCCUACGGGAGGCAGCAGUGGGGAAUAUUGCGCAAUGGGGGAAACCCUGACGCAGCGACGCCGCGUGAGCGAUGAAGGCCUUAGGGUCGUAAAGCUCUGUUGUAAGGGACGAAUGUGUAUCUGGCGAACAGUCAGAUAAAGUGACGGUACCUUACCAGCAAGCCCCGGCUAACUACGUGCCAGCAGCCGCGGUAAGACGUAGGGGGCGAGCGUUGUCCGGAAUUACUGGGCGUAAAGAGCACGUAGGCGGAUAAUUAAGUCAGAUGUGAAAGACCGGGGCCCAACCUCGGGGUUGCAUCUGAAACUGGAUAUCUUGAGGGCAGGAGAGGAAAGUGGAAUUCCUGGUGUAGCGGUGAAAUGCGUAGAAAUCAGGAGGAAUACCAGUGGCGAAGGCGACUUUCUGGACUGACCCUGACGCUGAGGUGCGAAAGCGUGGGUAGCAAACAGGAUUAAAUACCCUGGUAUUCCACGCUGUAAACGAUGGAUACUA
rnacentral:rRNA from 1 species